GCUCAGUCGGUAGAGCACCAGACUCUUAGUCUACCAGAUUAUCUGGUGGUCGUGGGUUCGAGCCCCAC